rnacentral:rRNA from 1 species
UACGAAGGGGGCUAGCGUUGCUCGGAAUCACUGGGCGUAAAGCGCACGUAGGCGGCUUUUUAAGUCAGGGGUGAAAUCCUGGAGCUCAACUCCAGAACUGCCUUUGAUACUGGGAAGCUUGAGUCCGGAAGAGGUGAGUGGAACUCCGAGUGUAGAGGUGAAAUUCGUAGAUAUUCGGAAGAACACCAGUGGCGGAGGCGGCUCACUGGUCCGGUACUGACGCUGAGGUGCGAAAGCGUGGGGAGCAAACAGG